UGGGGAAUAUUGGACAAUGGGCGAAAGCCUGAUCCAGCCAUGCCGCGUGUGUGAAGAAGGCCUUUUGGUUGUAAAGCACUUUAAGCGAGGAGGAGGCUACUUAGAUUAAUACUCUAGGAUAGUGGACGUUACUCGCGGAAUAAGCACCGGCUAACUCUGUGCCAGCAGCCGCGGUAAUACAGAGGGUGCGAGCGUUAAUCGGAUUUACUGGGCGUAAAGCGUGCGUAGGCGGCUUUUUAAGUCGGAUGUGAAAUCCCUGAGCUUAACUUAGGAAUUGCAUUCGAUACUGGGAAGCUAGAGUAUGGGAGAGGAUGGUAGAAUUCCAGGUGUAGCGGUGAAAUGCGUAGAGAUCUGGAGGAAUACCGAUGGCGAAGGCAGCCAUCUGGCCUAAUACUGACGCUGAGGUACGAAAGCACGGGGAGCAAACAGGAUUAGAUACCCUGGUAGUCCAUGCCGUAAACGAUGUCUACUAGCCGUUGGGGCCUUUGAGGCUUUAGUGGCGCAGCUAACGCGAUAAGUAGACCGCCUGGGGAGUACGGUCGCAAGACUAA
rnacentral:rRNA from 1 species